GAGGGUAUAGCUCAGUGGUAGAGCACAUGCUUAGCAUGCAGGAAGUCCUGGGUUCAAUUCCCAGCACCCCCA
rnacentral:tRNA from 1 species